UCCCUCUGCUGCCGAUCUCAUCGCUGCUUCUUCUCUCCUCGCCAGAGGUUUGUCAUCGUCUCUUCUCAUCACCGUUAGUUCAGUUGAAAAUCAAAGAAUACGAUCCAGGAGAGCUCUUAUGUUUGCAAAUCAGCUGUUGUUGCUGCAGAGAACUGAGUUUCUAAAUUCUAAGUGAAACAUGAUUGUGUGUUUGGUGCUGACAUGGAUUUAAAUGAAAUAACCUAUGUAUUAGGGGUA